rnacentral:lncRNA from 1 species
CCUAGUAGGCUAUCAGCUCAACAGAAGGUGUUUGUGCACUCCACUUGCUCCGGAGUUACCUAUAUGGUCAGUAUGAUUUAGAUAUGUAUUGAUUAGUAUGGCGGGGCUCUGUCCCGACCUUUAUGAUAUUUAUAUACUCUUAGAGGCUUGUAGACAAAUAUCAUGUAUAUGGAUACUUGUAUGUCCUUGUCGGCCUAUGUUUUGAGUAUACAAAUAAUCAUGUUGGCCUUAUUGGCCCGUAUAUCACAUGUAUAAGUUUCUAUAUCAUGUUGGGCCAUCCUAUGUCUAGUAUUCCCUCAUGUUUUAUUCUAGUUAUCUCACGACAGCCUUUUCGGCUCAUUUACCUAUGAUAAUAUGAUACGAAAGAUACAUUACAUUGGUACUCAAUUGAGUAAGGUACCGAAUGCCUGUUGCGGCCCAUCGGUUAGGGUCGUGACAUAAACAACCCCCUCCCAAAAGCCCUAAUCCCCAAAUUCUUUUCCUAAGUUGCUUCUUAAGACUUGUUCUAUGGUGGGUGGCCUGAAUGUGGGACAAAAUUGGUUUGCGGUUGUAUUGUAUACAGAGAAGUAAUCUAGAAUUCCCUCAACUUCGUUGAAAUUUUGGAGGGACACUAUAUUCCACCAUUUUUACACUAACUUGCACACAAUUCAUGCUCACAAGAUGUUUGUUAAAAUGUUUGAAUGAAUAUUUUGUGCACUGGUGAAGUCUGAGUAACCGAGUGUAGUUGUAUGUAAUAUCAGGCUAAGUGUGGGGUGUGUGGAAAUGAUUCGACAGACUUGGGAGCUUGGUUUCAAUGUACACAUGUCGCCCACACCAUGUAUCCUAUAUUAUGUAUGUUGUAGCACUUUGUAGGGUUAGCUAAUUUAGUGUAGUAAGUAUAAUAUGCCACUUGCUUGCAUUGAGGUUAAUUCAUACCGCCAUGAUCAAUCACUUCUUUGUAUGUCAUCAUUAGUGCCUUUUAGCUAUUGUAUGGCAUGGGGAAGUCUUGAGUACCCAUUGCCUUGUGGUGCAACACUUGCAUUUUAAACCACAAAUUGUGGGUAUCAUACAUUGAGCCUUCGGUUUUAAGUGUAGGGUCAUUUUUGACUUGCACGAUAACCUUAGGCAGAUUUCUCGAUUCGUUCUCACAUUCAUGCUUAUUUGUGUUGUAGGUUGCUAUGGCUCGUGAUAAUCCAAACAAAGUCAAGGGAAUAGGAAAGUCCUCCACCAUUGCCCCCGUGCCCAAAAAGUGCAAGCAAGGAUCACAAUAGUUAUCAUUGCAACCGAAGCCUCGUUUGAAAAUGUUGCGAUCGCAUGGCAUAAGGACUUCGUGCCGUAUGGACGCUACGUAUCUGAGAUGGGCAUUAAUGUAAUAGCUUUAGAAAAGAACUUCUGGU